CUCACUGAACUCUCUCUUCUCACUCCGUCUCCCUCAUCCUCUCACGCAGGUGAAUCACCCUCUCUCUCCCUCUCGCUCAUAUCGUCCUCUCUCUCCCUUUCCCUCACUCGGUCUUUCUCUCCCUAAACCUGAACCCUCCCUAUUUCUUUCCCUCUUUAUUUAUGAGUUGUGAUAAAUCUGCCUCCUUCUUUCCCCUUCUUUCGAACCCAAUCUUGAACCCUCUUUUCCCCGUAGACCCCAAAUCUCCCUUUCUUUCUUUCCCUCCUUCUUUCCCCUUCUUUCGAACCCAAUCUUGAACCUUUCCCUGCAGACCCAAAAUCUCCCUCUCUUUCUUUCCCUCUUUCUUUCCCUCGAUUUACUGAAACAAAAGUAGGAAGGAGAAACUGUUUGAUCAUCAAUGACUGGUUUUGUUAGAACGAGAUCGAAAAGGGUCCGGACCUAGUGACGCUAGCAAAGGAAGCGAGCACUCCGGCGACUACGACUCCCCCUGCCUCUCCAAGCUCGUCUGCGGCUGGGUUUCACGACAACGAGUCCGACUCAGAACGAGUCGAAUCGGGUAUUGGGCCGUGGAAGGGACUUUUUAGUUUCUUCUUUUUCUUCUGUAGGUGUAUGGGUAAGGAAGGGACUAAUUAGGAACAAAGAGUGGGGUUAGGAGGCUCAGAGGAUUGGCAUGAUCAACACACUGCAAGAAAUGUGUAAUGCUCCACUUGACAUGAUCAAAGUUAAGUGAAACAGAUAAUUCAUUGGACACUCAAGUACCAUUCCUCCCUUUGGUUGAGGUUUCAGUGAAGGCUUUACUUGUCAUAUCAUUAGUAGCUCUACCUGCAGCUCCAAGUGCAGCAACACGAGUUUUGUUCUGUGCUCAUCAUCCAUACUUGGUUGGAACUGCAAAGAGAGACGCAAUUUGGAAGAGGCAAUGAAGAUGUAUGCAUGCAUGUGGUUUGGAUCUCUUUCCAGAUAAGUUCUGAGAUUGUUCUCUCGUCGUUUGCUUGUAUUGUGUUUGGGCAUUAGUGAACCUAUUUCUCUUUGUAUGAGAGUCAAAUUUCUUAAUGCAGGUUCAAUCGUUGCCGAGGAUGGUUAUCAUGGAUGAGAAUGGGAAGCAGGCGCGGGUUCGUGAGACGGGUGCCUCCUUUUCCAGAUCGACCACAGGAGAGGUCAAUGCCUUGAAGGAGGAAGUGACAACCCUAAAAGGUCAACUUGCAGCCCAGGGCGAGCAGAUGAGUAUUAUUGUACGGGCCUUACAGAUUUCCGGCCUCUAAAUCCCGAUGCCAGCACCUAAUCUUGCUCCACCUUUGACCUCCCAGCCACUUUGCCCAGCCGAUACCCAGUAGUCUAAUGUAUCAAACAUAGAAGACUACUUGUUGUAGUUUUUUCUUUUUUGUUCGGACAUCUUGUAUGUACAUUUUCAUAUAUUUUAUAAUUAAAUACUUUUUUUUUGUUUAUUAA